GACGAACGCUGGCGGCGUGCUUAACACAUGCAAGUCGAACGGAAAGGCCCUGCUUUUGUGGGGUGCUCGAGUGGCGAACGGGUGAGUAACACGUGAGUAACCUGCCCUUGACUUUGGGAUAACUUCAGGAAACUGGGGCUAAUACCGGAUAGGAGCUCCUGCUGCAUGGUGGGGGUUGGAAAGUUUCGGCGGUAGGGGAUGGACUCGCGGCUUAUCAGCUUGUUGGUGGGGUAGUGGCUUACCAAGGCUUUGACGGGUAGCCGGCCUGAGAGGGUGACCGGCCACAUUGGGAUUGAGAUACGGCCCAGACUGCUACGGGAGGCAGCAGUGGGGAAUAUUGCACAAUGGGCGGAAGCCUGAUGCAGCAACGCCGCGUGCGGGAUGACGGCCUUCGGGUUGUAAACCGCUUUCGCCUGUGACGAAGCGUGAGUGACGGUAAUGGGUAAAGAAGCACCGGCUAACUACGUG
rnacentral:rRNA from 1 species